rnacentral:rRNA from 1 species
AGUGAACGCUGGCGGUAGGCCUAACACAUGCAAGUCGAACGGCAGCACAGUAAGAGCUUGCUCUUACGGGUGGCGAGUGGCGGACGGGUGAGGAAUACAUCGGAAUCUACUUUUUCGUGGGGGAUAACGUAGGGAAACUUACGCUAAUACCGCAUACGACCUACGGGUGAAAGCAGGGGAUCUUCGGACCUUGCGCGAUUGAAUGAGCCGAUGUCGGAUUAGCUAGUUGGCGGGGUAAAGGCCCACCAAGGCGACGAUCCGUAGCUGGUCUGAGAGGAUGAUAAGCAACACUGGAACUGAGACACGGUCCAGACUCCUACGGGAGGAAGCAGUGGGGAAUAUUGGACAAUGGGCGCAAGCCUGAUCCAGCCAUACCGCGUGGGUGAAGAAGGCCUUCGGGUUGUAAAGCCCUUUUGUUGGGAAAGAAAAGCAGCAGGUUAAUACCCCGCUGUUCUGACGGUACCCAAAGAAUAAGCACCGGCUAACUUCGUG